rnacentral:rRNA from 1 species
AUUGAACGCUGGCGGAAUGCUUUACACAUGCAAGUCGAACGGCAGCACGGGAGCUUGCUCCUGGUGGCGAGUGGCGGACGGGUGAGUAAUAUAUCGGAACGUAUCUAUUAAUGGGGGAUAACUAGCCGAAAGGUUAGCUAAUACCGCAUACGCCCUGAGGGGGAAAGCUGGGGAUCUUCGGACCUGGCGUUAAUAGGGCGGCCGAUACCUGAUUAGCUAGUUGGUGGGGUAAAGGCCUACCAAGGCGACGAUCAGUAGCUGGUCUGAGAGGACGACCAGCCACACUGGGACUGAGACACGGCCCAGACUCCUACGGGAGGCAGCAGUGGGGAAUUUUGGACAAUGGGGGCAACCCUGAUCCAGCCAUUCCGCGUGAGUGAAGAAGGCCUUCGGGUUGUAAAGCUCUUUCGCAAGGGAAGAAACGAUAUAAGUGAAUAGCUUAUGUUAAUGACGGUAC